ACUUCUGCUCCCUGCACCCUGCCACAGCCACAACCAGCGCCUGGAACGCAGCUGCUCCUUAUUUGUUGAGUGGAUGAAUGAAUGAAUGAACGAAUGGCGGUGGAAGUCAGAACACAAUUUGGUGUGAAUAAGGAGUUCCGGUUGAGAAUAUCUGAAGAUGCCCCUCCUACCUUGCUCUGUGGCCCUGCGCAAAAGCAAAACCUCCCUGCCAGGCCAUCUGCUCCGAGCUGGCGUCCGGGAAAUCAGGGGCCCCUCCUAUCUUGCGCUGGUGUCCAGGUACACCCUCACUCCUCCACUACAGGGUCCUUCUGUUGGAGCAGGAGGGAACCGCAGCCUGGAAGGGUGGGUGUGAACCAUGAACCCAGAUGACCAAGCCAGUGGAGGUGGCACAGGCAGUCCCCAAGGAAGGGGACACGUGUGUCCCGAGGUCAGAACUGAGAAGCUCUUCAACUGCCACUGCAUGUUUCUAACUUCUAGAAACCAUCAGGAUGGAUCUAAUUUCUCAUGUGGAAACUGGGGCUCUGAGCAGCACUUUCCUUCUCACUCAGAGGAGAGAUAACCCAGCACCCUGCAGGAGCCCAGCAACCCCCAUGGCCUGUGUCCUCUGCUUCUCCUGCUUUCGGCCUGGUUGAAUGCAUCACUGAGGAUUUUCUAUUGGUUCCUGGAAUUUAGUGUGAUUGUGUCUACCAUUUGUGGUAGACUGUUGCUUGGACAGUUAUCCUGUGGCAUGUCAGAAGAGUCCUGGCGUCCAAAGAUGUGACUAGGAGCAGAAUAAUGUUUUCCAAUGCAUGGACUAAAACCCUUACGAUUUGAAAGGCAAUGGAGUUGUGAUAUUGUGACAUGUGUGUUUCUUCAUUAUGCAUUAAAUACAACGAGAUCCAGCAGAA